CCUACGGGAGGCAGCAGUAGGGAAUCUUCCACAAUGGGCGAAAGCCUGAUGGAGCAACGCCGCGUGAGUGAUGAAGGCCUUCGGGUUGUAAAACUCUGUCAUUCGGGACGAACCGGAGUCUGAGGAAAUGCAGACUCUCUGACGGUACCGGAGGAGGAAGCCCCGGCUAACUACGUGCCAGCAGCCGCGGUAAUACGUAGGGGGCAAGCGUUGUCCGGAUUCACUGGGCGUAAAGCGCGCGCAGGCGGUGAUGUAAGUCUGAGGUGAAAACCCGAAGCUCAACUUCGGGACUGCCUUGGAUACUGCGUCACUUGAGGAUAGGAGAGGCAAGGGGAAUUCCACGUGUAGCGGUGAAAUGCGUAGAGAUGUGGAGGAACACCUGUGGCGAAGGCGCCUUGCUGGCCUAUUUCUGACGCUGAGGCGCGAAAGCGUGGGGAGCAAACAGGAUUAGAUACCCUGGUAGUCCACGCUGUAAACGAUGAGUGCUAGGUGUAGGUGGGCUCAUACCACUCUGUGCGACGCUACGACAUAAGACACUCCGCCCGUCGGGGUAGGUACGACGUCGCGAACGACGUAGUAAACGUUAAAAGGUAAAGUUAGUUACGGCGUUGAGGACGUUGCCGACGGACGACGACGAGGGAGGUUAGG
rnacentral:rRNA from 1 species